UACGUAGGGGGCAAGCGUUGUCCGGAAUUACUGGGCGUAAAGGGCGCGUAGGCGGUCUUGUAAGUCUUGUGUGAAAUCCCUCGGCUCAACUGAGGAACUGCACGGGAUACUGCGAGACUUGAGUUCGGGAGAGGGAAGCGGAAUUCCGGGUGUAGCGGUGAAAUGCGUAGAUAUCCGGAGGAACACCGGUGGCGAAGGCGGCUUCCUGGACCGAUUACUGACGCUGAGGCGCGAAAGCGUGGGGAGCAAACAGG
rnacentral:rRNA from 1 species